rnacentral:rRNA from 1 species
GAGUUUGAUCAUGGCUCAGAUUGAACGCUGGCGGCAUGCUUUACACAUGCAAGUCGAACGGCAGCGCGGGGCAACCUGGCGGCGAGUGGCGAACGGGUGAGUAAUAUAUCGGAACGUACCCAAGAGUGGGGGAUAACGUAGCGAAAGUUACGCUAAUACCGCAUACGAUCUAUGGAUGAAAGCAGGGGACCGCAAGGCCUUGUGCUCCUGGAGCGGCCGAUAUCUGAUUAGCUAGUUGGUGAGGUAAAGGCUCACCAAGGCGACGAUCAGUAGCUGGUCUGAGAGGACGACCAGCCACACUGGAACUGAGACACGGUCCAGACUCCUACGGGGGGCAGCAGA